UCACCAUGAUCCCGGCAACCAACGCAAGUUGCUCCCGGCAGCUACCGCGCAGGUGUGUGACUGAGCCAGGAGACGCAGGUUCAGGGCAGAACUCGGAGGGGCUGGGUGGGCGUGGUCGCCACACUUCAAGCCCAUUGGUCAGUGAGAAAGACGAAACAAAGAGGGGCGUGGUCCGAGGCGUCAAAAUGGGAGCUGCACAUGCAGCUCUGUCACCGCCCACUCUGGGGGCGGGGCGAUUUCCCUUGGGUGCGGGCGCAGCUUUCUGGGAGCCUCUCAUGGCGUCCGACACAGAAUUCUAGUUAGUCUGCGGACCCCAGAGGCCGCUCUCCGGCCCGCGCCCUGGACCCCUUUUCUCCACAGGCGCCCCCGAACCGGGGCCCUCGGACCCCAGGGCUCAGGAGGGCUGAGCAGGACCCGGCCGCAGCUGCCUCGGGACCUUCCGGUCACGGAAGAAAAAAAUCCAAUCUGGACUCCAGAAAGACGGACAAGAACAAUAGAGUAGCGAGAUGAUCGUGAUUCUACUCCUACUAAUAAUGACACAACUGUCACCGAUGAUGGCCAAGCUGGAUGAGUAUUGGGGUCUCUUGAGAGCCCUACCUCUCCUUCUACCUGUUUCUAAUUCUUCUAACCUUCUGCCAGUUGUGUAUUUGCAUAACUCUACCAUAGGUGAAAGAUUCGGAGUGCCUUACAACAGUCUUGUCAAUUCUUCCCAUCAGGGCCAGGUUAACUUACCCAUCCACCUUUCGGGAGCGCUAUGCUUCCAUAAGCCCAAGUUUGGUACAGAUCUUUGUGGUUAUAAUUAUACCGGCUUUCCUAUGCCAUGCAUUAAUUUGGCCACUUAUUCCAUGGGAGAUGUUAUCAACUGGAAUGAGUCAGGUAGUUCUUACACAGCCAAUAUUACAGGGGAACUUAUAGCCUUUUGAUCUGAGUCACUACCUCUCAGGUGCCAGGAGUGUCACAGACCAUUUGCUCCUUACCCUCCUACCAAUCCACUUCCUUCUUGCACUCCUCAGGCACCCCCAAUUCUCCAGAUGCCUGUCCACCUCUGAUCGAUUCCCUGUUGCUCCUUAAUGUUAAUUUCUUUGCAGCUUCUUGAUUUGCCUUUUCAUCACCCAACGAAACCCAUGUAUCAUCCCCUGUUUGCCUUCAGCCUCCCUUCUUUUGGUAUUGCUGUAAUGCUACUAAUAAUACUUGCACUACAGGAGUUAUUUCCUCAUGUGUUAAAGGAAAAUUAAAUGAAGUGGAAACACUGGUGGUUGUGCGGAUUCCCAUUUGGGUUCCUGUACCAGUUGCGGUGCCUGAGAAGGACUUCUCAAUGGCUGUUUGACACAGGAGAGACUUUGGGGUCACCGCAGUCGUUGUUGCAGUAAUUGCGGCGUUAUAAGCUGGUGUGGCCACUAUUGGCAUGGCCGUGAGCCAAACCUCCACACUGUCCACACUUGAUAGCAUCACAAGAUCUACCGCCCAGGCACUUGAUGAUAUACUGCUAUUCAGCUGUUAACUCAAUGAACGGAUUUAUUGCAAGAUCAGGCCUGGCUGGCAUACCCUGUGUUAUUCGAUCUACUGCAGUUUGUGUUACCGCCUACCCCUACAACCACUUCUCAUUUGCCGCUAAUCAGUCCCAUCUUUUGGGUAGCAUUUAAAUGGUAGUUGGAAUCCAGUUGAACAAUGGGCCGCUAUUAUAGGGCUGGCUCUUGUGCUUAUAACAGGAUCAAUUAUUGCUCGGAUCUUGCAAGGGCUGCUCAGGUGUCAGCGUAAUACACAAAUGGUGGUUAAAUAAGCCAUGCUAACAUUCAAUAACCAGUACCCCAUGCAAAAUGGACAGAUUCAGGUGUGGCUGAAUCUGCUGGACUGGUAGUCAAAGACAGGGUAAGUUCUGAGAGGUCUUCAAGGCAACCUAAGACAGGGCAUGAACGCUCCCUCCACACCUCAUGUUCAUGUGCCAAUGAUGGGUAAGCCCGAUAGAUGCUGUUGGUCACCUAAGACAGGCACAGUAUCACUCCAUUUUGCAAAGCAAUAAGGGGGAGAUGUUGGGGAAUGGGACAGCCUGGCCAGCUGUGCCCCUCCCGACAUGUACAAGCACAAGAAGUUUAGUGCUGGGCUUUUUCCACCCUGCCCGUUGCUAACCGCAAGAUCCUGUUUUGACUUUAAGCAUCCUGUUAUUGCAUGUUUCCCACAUUUACUAAGUUUUGUUACUUGCUGAUUUGGUAACAUGUUUUCCGUGAAUCAUAUAUAAACAGGUGGACGGUGGGAGAGGGAUAUAUAAGAGGGUUGGAGGAGGCGAAGACAGCGGGUGUUCACGACAUGUAACCCGAGUCCGAGUCUGCUAAAAAAUAAAGUGGAAGCUGAAAAGCCGAUAAACGCGUCUGGUGUCUCUGAGGUCUCUCUGGCAUUAACCUAUCUGGAAGGUGCACACCUGCAACUCACCUUUUUAAAAAAAUUUUAUUUCAUGUUUCAGUUCUGAUAUUUCUGUCUUCUAACUCUGGGAUUUUCUUGCUUUUUGCGGUCCUUGAGGUGCAUUGUUGUGUUUGUUGCACUUCCAUUUCUUAGGCCAUCCUCUGCUACUUUCCCAGGUGCAUCAGCAGGGAGCUGGAUCAAAAGUGCAGCAGCUGGGAUUUGAACUGGCACCCAUAUGGGAUGCCGGUGCUGCAGGCAGAGGCUUAACUUGCUACACCAUGGUACUGGCCCCUCAAAUCCAUUUUUCAAAGUUCAUUCUGAUGCACCCUAACCUCUGCUGCUGCCUGGAGGUGCUCGCAGCCUGAGCCCUGAGGGGCCGUGUGGCAUCCUGGCCAGCCUCGAGCACCCUUGGUAUGGCUUUGGCUCACAGCUAGUUAAAUGCCCUUGAACUUGUCCCCCAUGUACACAAAAAUUAUCUAGGGGCUGGUGUUUGUGAUGUAGCAGGUAAUGCUGCUGCCUGUGAUGCCAGCAUCCCAUAUGGGCACCAGUUCAAGUCCUGGCUGCUCCACUUCCAGUCCAGCUCCUUGCUAAUGCACCUGGGAAAUUAGUGGAGGAUGGCACAAGUGUUUGGGCUCCUGCAGCCAUGUGAGAUCUGGAAGAAGCUCCUGGCUCCUGGUUCUUGACUUUGGUCAUGGCCAGCUUCAGCCAUGAGGCCAUUUGGGUAGUGAACCAGUGGAUAGAAGAUCUGCCUCUCUCCCCCCCUCUCCCUAUAACUCUGCCUUUCAAAUAAAUAAAAAUAAAUCUCUAAAAGAUUAUCAAAAAUAUGUUGAUACUGAGAUCACAUACAGCAUCCUAAAUAUAUAGCCCCUUAGUCUGAGUCCAUGCCACCUACAAUAGCAUACACAAAUUCUGCUCCUGUGUGCCUUGGUCCAAUACUGCUUUUCUUGUUAUUGAUAACAUAGUCAUGCCUUGUGUGCACAAACUUGCCUGUGUAUAAUUAAUUUUAUGUAAUUCCCUCUUAAGUGUUGUAGGAGUAAAAGGUGGAUUCCUGGGGCAGCAAUAAGUCACCUCUUGGUGUCUACAUCCCACAUAGGAUUUCCUGGGUUUACAUCUGGUCCAGUCCUGAUUUCAGCUUCCUCCUGAUGUGCACUGUGGGAGACAACAAGUCUCACAAGGGCCCAAAACACAGCCCACAGUUCUUUGUGGGCUCCAGUGUUGGAGUGUGGGUGGGCGUGGAUGAUACGGGACUUUGCUUGUCAUGGAAUGGGAGCUGGAAACACAUCUGCUUAGAAGCUGACAACCAAGGCACAGAGAUGAGUCUGAAUCCCAUUGUUUCAAGCAUG